CCUCGCGUUUCCGAUUGGCAGAGUGGUUUGCAAGUGAAUUGACUAGCCUUUUGGUAAAAAUUAAACACCGAUUCCUCCUUAGAGGGGUUACUAAUCCCUGACGAGCCUUAAAAGAUAGUUUUUCCGGGAACGAGUCUCUUUUUAAAACAAGUCCGCGCCUUGAAUGCAUUGGGUGAAACCUAGCCUUGAGUCUUGUCCCACAAUGCUCUGCGGUGUUAACGGCCUUUGGCGGGAAAGCCUGCUGAGGGCGGAGCUAAGGGGGGGAGGGACCUGGUGGUUGCUCCGGAAACGCGGACAUCCUCAGAGAGUGGGGCUGGUUUGGGAACUCCGAGGCUUGGGAUUCAAUCCCGAGCCGAGACGUGACUUUGUCUUCCUGCCCUUUCUCCUCCGCACAGGCGGCGGUUUGCUUAGACAAAUGUCUAAUUUAGAGCAACCCAGCUUAGAUUACUUAGUAAAUACUCUGCGCUAAGUACCGUUCUGCUGUGGGUUCAAAACGUAACUUUGUGUAGCUCACUUGAGCACACCUUGUUCUAGUGGCAGUGGUUCGAACCCUGAGAAGUUAACCAGGACUCAGACCGCAGCCUCUCUUUAAUCGCCUACGGGUUAGGCCUAGCGCAGAGGAGAGGUCCGGUGAAGGUUUGAAGAGUGAAUUGUGCCUGUUGCCUGUCCAUCCCUUUCAAACAUCAAGAAAAAGCGUGUCUGUGUGUUUGCAGAAUCCUGAAGUUCGUUCCUCUUUCUGAACUCACCCCCGGACCUCUCAGGGCUUAUCCGUGUGUAGAUGCCCAUGUGUUUUUAAGAUAACUAGUUGGAAGAACAUCCCAUGUUCCUCCUUGCUGAUCUGUUUCAUGUGCUGUGCCAUGACUUAUUCUUAUAAGAGUACAUUUGGAGGAAGGUGCUGAAGGAUAUGUUCCCCUAAAAGAAAGAAGUAAACCAAGAAAAAAGAAGACAUUGGAUGCAGAGAACAAGAAGUUUAUGUAGAGAGAGAGAGACAAAGGAAUUUCCAGCAUGUUCCAGCAUGAUGUCAGAGAGCAAACCCAGGAGGACAAUUCUGCAGCUCUGUUUGAGGACAGCUAGUCUAGAUUGGAGCAGUACACUGAGAAACUGAAGGUGUGGUGUCUCUAGCAGGGGAAAAAAAUAAUGGAUAGAUCAUCUGACAAAUGACCAUGUAGAACUUGUACUGAAACAUUUUAGUAUUGAGUAUUGCAAAAUUUAACUAAGUUCAAAGAAAUUUAAGUGCACAAAAAAUGAGGUCGGUGUAUCCCUACAAUGGGAUAUUACUCAGCAAUUAAAUGAGCUAUGAGAAGAUGUGGAUGAGUCUGAAAUGCCUACUGAUAGGGGAAAGAAGCUAGUCUGAAAAAACCACAUCUGUAUGAUUCCAAUUAUAUGACAUUUUGGGAAAGACAAAACUAUGGAAAUGAUAAACAGAUCAGUGGUUGUCAGUGGUUUAGGAGGAUGGGAGUGAAACACAUGGGUUUCUUAGGGUGAUGAAACUAUUCUGUGUGAUACUCUAAUGGGCAAUAUAAGACAUUAAAACCUGUAGAACUUUUUCAAAAACCCAUAGAACUUUACAGCACGAAGAGUAUACUUUAAUUCAUGCAAAUUUUACUUUUUUAUUUUUAAAUAUUUUUAUUUAUUUAUUUGAUAGAAAUCACAAGCAGGCAGAAAGGCA